GGCACAGUCAUAUCGCUUCCUACGAACGCAUCGGGCGUCUUAUUCUCAAGAUGACUUCAGACUUAUCCAAACGGACAUUACAAUUGGCCCUGCUUUAAUCAUACCUCGUGAAUAUCCUUCAUUCGUUCUUUUAUUAAUAAUAGGUAUACAACAAUAUACUAAGUAUUGUAUCACCUAGGAGAGCUUAUUGUAGGCUGAGAUACUGGGAAAUGUUUUGUAAUACAUCACGUGCAGACGAUCUAGCGGUAGGAAGAGCUUAGAAGGUAGAAACAAAUCGAUUAGUGAGUCCGAUCUUGAUGUGUUGUUCCACGUUAAGUUGCGUGUAUUUAAGGAAAAAUAAAAAAAUAAAGAAAAAAAGCACCUUAACUUUAUUUAAUCGUUAAUCAUUUCUUGUUUUAUAACUGACUUGUUGUUACUUGAUAUUAUAUUGACAUUUCUUAUUUUUGACUUGACAUUUAUUAGACAUUCAUAUUAAUGUUUCAACCUAUGGUUUCAACAAUGAUUGCUGUAUUACUUGUUAAAUUUCAAAGUAUGUUUUCAUUAGGUAAAAAAAAGGUAUUCUUUUUUUGUUUAUUAUUGUAUUCCAUCUUCGAGCCGAUGAAUUGCCAAUGUUAUGCCAUUAUUGUGACAUGCAUCAGGCCAUAAAUUAAAGUUAUUUUCAAUGUUAAAUGAUUGUGAUGUGGCAGUACUUUUUUUAAAAUAAAUAAGUGUUGCCGGUAGCGAUUAAUGGAACCUUCGACCGAUGCACUGGAUAUCUGAGAGGGAGUGUCGUCUAGUCUAAUCGUCCAAUCAGUUGGUCGCAGUAAGCCGUUAAUUGUGUAGAGGAGAGCUUCCGAGGCGAUCAAACUAUAGGUUUCAAACCUCAGGUAUUUGAUCAAGCUCCUUGUCGGCUUGAGAACUGAUUCAUUGAAAUUUGCUUAAAGUUGCUCGGAGCUCCAAACACAAUUUAAAUUUAAAUUACAUCUAGGUUUUAUGAUCCAGAAUUUAAGAUAUUACACCAGCAUUAUUCUUUGGAAAUUUAAAUUUAAAGAAGGGUCUUUGUUUGUAAGUCUUGAAAAGGAUUGCGUCUGUUGGUUUUUUUUUAAAUUUACAUGUUAUUUAUUUUCACUUUUUGCACACUAACCGUUAUUUACUAUUCACGCAUGUGGAUACUCCACGUGCUACGCAAACGUACCACGUAAUCGAAUUUGAUUUGAUUUGAUUUGAAAAUAAACUUUUAUUUCGACAA